UGCCUGCUACUACUCUGCUGAUUUAUUAUUGUUAAGUGUGUGCCCUGGGGAUACAGUACAGAAAACAUAUGUUGGUGCAGCACAAUAUGAAGCUUCUAAGCAUCAUUUUGAUGUGUGUUAUAUUUCACAGGACUACAGAAGAAGUACAAACAGGGGAAAAACUACAGAGAGAUUUGCAAGGGCGAAUGCUGUGGAUGCCUGUCUGCAGUGACAUCUACCGACAACUGAGGCUUGACUCAAUUUUCUGCAACAUUCUUUGUCUUAAAGGAGGCUUCAACAGAACAUCAGAAUGCAGUGAAGGAUAUUGCAUUUGUUAUGCAUGAAAAUAUAGUGUCAAUGAAAACAACUAAGUUAUAUCUCUGCAAUGUGAAAUAAACUGUUAUACGUAUCCUCCUCUAUUUUGGUUUCUUGCACAGUAACACGUCAAUGCAUUACUUUGCAACAUAUCUUAUCUCCAGAACAAAAAAUUAUGUGUAAGAUAUAGUUAUUAUACAUGAAACAUUAUCAUGAAUGUUUCUGGGUUAGAAGACAACAAAUUCAAGUGUAUUUUAACAAUACAAAUAUUUUUGUUCUUUU